rnacentral:rRNA from 1 species
CGUAAACGAUGAAUGCUAAGUGUGGAGGGUUCCGCCCUUCAGUGCUGCAGCUAACGCAUUAAGCAUUCCGCUGGGGAGUACGGCCGCAAGGCUGAAACUCAAAGGAAUUGACGGGGGCCCGCACAGCGGUGGAGCAUGUGGUUUAAUUCGAAGCUACGCGAAGAACCUUACCAGGUCUUGACAUACUAUGCAAAUCUAAGAGAUUAGACGUUCCCUUCGGGGACAUGGAUACAGGUGGUGCAUGGUUGUCGUCAGCUCGUGUCGUGAGAUGUUGGGUUAAGUCCCGCAACGAGCGCAACCCUUAUUAUCAGUUGCCAGCAUUAAGUUGGGCACUCUGGUGAGACUGCCGGUGACAAACCGGAGGAAGGUGGGGAUGACGUCAAAUCAUCAUGCCCCUUAUGACCUGGGCUACACACGUGCUACAAUGGAUGGUACAACGAGUUGCGAACUCGCGAGAGUAAGCUAAUCUCUUAAAGCCAUUCUCAGUUCGGAUUGUAGGCUGCAACUCGCCUACAUGAAGUCGGAAUCGCUAGUAAUCGCGGAUCAGCAUGCCGCGGUGAAUACGUUCCCGGGCCUUGUACACACCGCCCGUCACACCAUGAGAGUUUGUAACACCCAAAGUCGGUGGGGUAACCUUUAGGAACCAGCCGCCUAAGGUGGGACAGAUGAUUAGGGUGAAGUCGUAACAAGGUAACCA